AGAGCGCAGGGCGGAUGCCUUGGCAUUGGGAACCGAAGAAGGACGUGGUUAACUGCGAAAAGCUGCGGCGAGUUGUAAGCGAACAAAGACCCGCAGAUAUCCGAAUGGAGCAAUCCAUAUGAGAGAAGCUCAUAUAUCAUAUACUGAAUACAUAGGUAUAUGAGGGGAACCUCCUGAACUGAAACAUCUAAGUAGGGAGAGGAAGAGAAAUCAACCGAGAUUUCGUAAGUAGUGGCGAGCGAAAGCGAAAGAGGCCAAACCGUAAUCAGCAAUGAAUACGGGGUUGCGGACUGCAAUUAGCAUUGUCAAAGCCUAGUUGAACAGGAUGGGAAGCCUGACCAAAGAAUGUGAGAGUCAUGUAAAUGAAAGGCAGAGACAGCGAGCAGGAUCCAGAGUACCGCGGGACACGUGAAACCCCGUGGGAAGCCGGGGGGACCACCCUCCAAGCCUAAAUAUUCCCCAAUGACCGAUAGUGAAGAGUACUGUGAAGGAAAGGUGAAAAGAACCCCGGGAGGGGAGUGAAAAAGAACCUGAAACCCUGUGCUUACAAGCACUGAGAGCACGUCAAAGUGUGAUCAGGUACCUUUUGUAGAAUGGUCCGGCGAGUUAUCAUAUGUAGCAAGGUUAAGGACUUAAGGUCUGAAGCCGAAGCGAGAGCGAGUCUUAACAGGGCGAGAAGUUACAUGUGAUAGACCCGAAACCGAGUGACCUAGCCAUGUCCAGGCUGAAGUGGAGGUAAAACUCCAUGGAGGGCCGAACCGACCCCCGUUGAAAAGGUGGCGGAUGAGGUGUGGCUAGCGGAGAAAUUCCAAUCGAACUCGGAUAUAGCUGGUUCUCCCCGAAAUAGCUUUAGGGCUAGCGUUGUAUUAGAUUACCGGAGGUAAAGCACUGAAUGGGCUAGGGGCCGAGAGGUUACUGAACCUUAUCAAACUAAGAAUGCCGGAUAAUUGAUGUACAGCAGUCAGACUAUGUGAGAUAAGUCUCAUAGUCAAAAGGGAAACAGCCCAGACCCACAGCUAAGGUCCCAAAAUAGAUUUAAGUGGAAAAGGAUGUGGGGUUGCACAGACAACCAGGAUGUUGGCUUAGAAGCAGCCACUCAUUAAAAGAGUGCGUAAUAGCUCACUGGUCGAGUGACCCUGCGCCGAAAAUUCAACGGGGCUAAACAAUGUACCGAAGCUUGGGAUUCUAGAUUUAUCUAGAGUGGUAGGAGAGCGUCGAAUAAGGGGUGAAGUCAGAGCGGAAGCGCUGGUGGACUUUAUUCGAGUGAGAAUGCCGGAAUGAGUAGCGAGAAUUAUGUGAGAAUCAUAAUGGCCGAAAAUCUAAGGUUUCCUGAGGAAGGUUCGUCCGCUCAGGGUAAGCCGGGGGCUAAGGCGAGGCGGAGACGCGUAGCCGAUGCACAUACGGUUGAAAUUCCGUAGCCACCGAAAGAUUUAAGUACAGGGACGCUUUAGAAGUGAUGUAGCCGGGCGAUGGUUGACCCGGUCGUAAGGGAUCGAAAAUGAGUAGAGAAGUCAUCAUGGAAAGAGACAAGAAAAGCUGUAUGAAUAUCUUAGGUGCCCGUACCGCAAACCGACACAGGUAGAUAGGAAGAAGAUUCUAAGGCCAACGGGAGAAGGGUUGUUAAGGAACUCGGCAAGUUGACCCCGUAACUUAGGGAUAAGGGGUGCUCAAGUGAUUGAGCCGCAGAGAAUAGGCCCAGGCGACUGUUUAGCAAAAACACAGGUCUCUGCUAAAUCGAAAGAUGACGUAUAGGGGCUGACACCUGCCCGGUGCCGGAAGGUUAAGAGGAGAUGUGAGAGCAUUGAAUUGAAGCCCCGGUAAACGGCGGCCGUAACUAUAACGGUCCUAAGGUAGCGAAAUUCCUUGUCAGGUAAGUUCUGACCCGCACGAAAGGUGUAACGAUCUGGGCACUGUCUCAACAACCCGCCCGGCGAAAUUGUAGUACCGGUGAAGAUGCCGGUUACCCGCGACUAGACGGAAAGACCCCAUGGAGCUUUACUGUAGCCUAAUAUUGGAUUUCGGUAUUUCACGUACAGGAUAGGUGGGAGACUGGGAAGCACAGGCGUCAGCUUGUGUGGAGUCGACCUUGGGAUACCACUCUUGGAGUGCUGGAAUUCUAACCUGCGGCUUUGAAGCAAGUCGGGGGACAUUGUUAGGUGGGCAGUUUGACUGGGGCGGUCGCCUCCUAAAGAGUA
rnacentral:rRNA from 1 species